AGUGAACGCUGGCGGUAGGCCUAACACAUGCAGGUCGAACGGCAGCACAGUAAGAGCUUGCUCUUACGGGUCGCGAGUGGCGGACGGGUGAGGAAUACAUCGGAAUCUACUUUUUCGUGGGGGAUAACGUAGGGAAACUUACGCUAAUACCGCAUACGACCUACGGGUGAAAGCAGGGGAUCUUCGGACCUUGCGCGAUUGAAUGAGCCGAUGUCGGAUUAGCUAGUUGGCGGGGUAAAGGCCCACCAAGGCGACGAUCCGUAGCUGGUCUGAGAGGAUGAUCAGCCACACUGGAACUGAGACACGGUCCAGACUCCUACGGGAGGCAGCAGUGGGGAAUAUUGGACAAUGGGCGCAAGCCUGAUCCAGCCAUACCGCGUGGGUGAAGAAGGCCUUCGGGUUGUAAAGCCCUUUUGUUGGGAAAGAAAAGCAGCAGGUUAAUACCCCGCUGUUCUGACGGUACCCAAAGAGUAAGCACCGGCUAACUUCGUG
rnacentral:rRNA from 1 species